GGGAUACUCCCCUCUGGUGAGGGGAGUUUGAACUGGAAGAUUUUUGUACUGCAGGGACUGCUGACCCUCUGAACCAGAUCAGCUAAGAGGGAGACAGCUGUAGGCCUUGCUGCCCCUGAAAUGGCAUGGAUCAGCUAUAAGCAGGUACCCCAAGAGGAGGGGCUGGAGUGCUUCCUGGUGCUACCACUGGAGCCAAUGGAAAUGUGCCCAGAUGCUAUGGUAAUGGCUGCUAAGAUGUGGGUGUCUUAAGCGUCCAUCCUUUCUCAGGCUGCCAACAAUGAUUGUCACACAGGAUAGAAACAGCACAAGUCCAAUCACUACUCCAGCUACCAGGAGGGGGGAGACCAGCAAGCUGGCGUCAUUGCCGU